CAGCAGCCGCGGUAAUACGGAGGAUGCAAGUGUUAUCCGGAAUUACUGGGCGUAAAGCGUCUGUAGGUGGUUUAAUAAGUCAACUGUUAAAUCUUGAGGCUUAACUUCAAAACAGCAGUCGAAACUAUUAGACUAGAGUAUAGUAGGGGUAAAGGGAAUUUCCAGUGGAGCGGUGAAAUGCGUAGAUAUUGGAAAGAACACCGAUGGCGAAAGCACUUUACUGGGCUAUUACUAACACUCAGAGACGAAAGCUAGGGUAGCAAAUGGGAUUAGAUACCCCAGUAGUCCUAGCCGUAAACUAUGGAUACUAGAUGUUGAACAGAUCGACCUGUGCAGUAUCAAAGCUAACGCGUUAAGUAUCCCGCCUGGGAAGUAUGCUCGCAAGAGUGAAACUCAAAGGAAUUGACGG
rnacentral:rRNA from 1 species